rnacentral:rRNA from 1 species
GUGCCAGCCGCCGCGGUAAUACGUAGGUGGCGAGCGUUGUCCGGAAUUAUUGGGCGUAAAGGGAGCGCAGGCGGACAUAUAAGUCCAUCUUAAAAGUGCGGGGCUCAACCCCGUGAGGGGAUGGAAACUGUAUGCCUUGAGUGCAGGAGAGGAAAGCGGAAUUCCCAGUGUAGCGGUGAAAUGCGUAGAUAUUGGGAGGAACACCAGUGGCGAAGGCGGCUUUCUGGACUGUAACUGACGCUGAGGCUCGAAAGCCAGGGGAGCGAACGGGAUUAGAUACCCCGGUAGUCCUGGCCGUAAACGAUGAAUGCUAGGUGUAGGAGGUAUCGACCCCUCCUGUGCCGGAGUUAACGCAAUAAGCAUGCCGCCUGGGGAGUACGGUCGCAAGACUGAAACUUAAAUAAAUUGACGG